CCUGUAAUCUGCUUGUGUUACACUAGCGGUGCAGGGCGCAGACGGGGGCUGGCUCCUCUCCGAAGGAAGGAAAACAUCAAAUCGCACCUUUCAGCUCCGGCAGCUUCCUUCGCUUCAGGCGAACGCCGAGGGGGCUGGCCGGCCCCGCCAGGGCCGACAGCAGCCGGCCUCCUGGAACAAAAGUGGUUCUGCUGCACGAGCAAAUAGGCCCCCGCGCGCUUUGUGCUCAGAUGCACGCUGGGAAAAACAAAGGCCCAUUGUCCAGUUGUGCUGGGUUUUUGUGCAGAAUUUCCUUUUUACGCUGCCCCACCCUAAGCAAAUUAUGAGUCACAAAGCGCCUUCAGGAAAAGAUGCGGGGGAAUGAGAUCAAUACAUCACUUCAAAGGGAACAUUGAUCGGAAGUAGAUCAAGCCACUUCAUACUCCAGUCCUGCAUACACACCGAAGCUAAAUUUUUCUGAGCCCUUGCCAGCUGACGAAUCUCCUGAGUGAAAUUGGAAAUGCAGCUGUUUCCAGGAGAGCCGCGAUUGCCUCUGUAUAAAUAAGCAGCAGGGGCCACGAGACGAUCCGAAACGCGCGUCUGCCGGCCUCAGUGGGACUGCGGGUUAUACCUUUCUCUCCCACACAGCUCGGCAAGCUCAACCAGCACAGCGCGCAUCUUUCUCCCCACUAGCGUUUCAGUGCUUCAAACCACAACACGCUGGCGUUCGGCGGACGACUUCCCUCAGAAUACGUCUCAACCCAUUAUUAGUUUUAUUGCAUUCUAUACUACUCUGCAUAUACUGUGACUAAGUGGUUGAUGUCACUGACGUCCAAAGAAACAUUUAUGUGUCC